rnacentral:rRNA from 1 species
CGGACGGGUGAGUAACACGUGGAUAACCUACCUAUAAGACUGGGAUAACUUCGGGAAACCGGAGCUAAUACCGGAUAAUAUAUUGAACCGCAUGGUUCAAUAGUGAAAGACGGUUUUGCUGUCACUUAUAGAUGGAUCCGCGCCGCAUUAGCUAGUUGGUAAGGUAACGGCUUACCAAGGCAGCGAUGCGUAGCCGACCUGAGAGGGUGAUCGGCCACACUGGAACUGAGACACGGUCCAGACUCCUACGGGAGGCAGCAGAC